rnacentral:misc_RNA from 1 species
AUAACUCUCUCUUGGAGUUCGACGGCAACUUCAAAGAGCUAGUUUGAUCAUAAAAAUAGAUAUUUUAGUUAACAUAGAAUGAACUUCAUCUACCUUUUCAACAAGAGACUAGAACAAUUCUAGUGAAUUUUGUAAAAGAAAGAUGAGGAGAGAGAUUUCCGAAUUCUGAACAAGAGAGAUCACCCUAUUAAACAUAAGUUGGUGAUAUAAUAAUGUAAGAAUAGCAAUAACUUUUAAUGUUGGAUCAGAACAUCAGCAAAAAUACAAACACAUUAACCAUAUUAAGGGUCUAUUUGGCAAAAACAACCUUGAUUAUGCUAAUUAAAGGCAAUUAAUAUUUGUUACUAAAGUAGAUUUGUCAUGUUUUGGUCAUAAAAACUUUAGAACUAAACAUCAAUUUCAAAUUGAAUUUUGCAAAAUUAUCCAAAUAAAUGUUUUUCCGAAGAAGCAAUUUCAAUCUCAAUGCCCAAUAGACACUAAAUCUAUCAUAAUUAAAAAUCAAAAUUGAGGGGGAAAAUAAAAAUACUAACGUUGUCAUCCUUCUCUGAAGAUUG